rnacentral:rRNA from 1 species
GACGAACGCUGGCGGCGUGCUUAACACAUGCAAGUCGAACGGAAAGGCCCUGCUUUUGUGGGUGCCCGGGUGGCGAACGGGUGAGUAACACGUGAGUUACCUGCCCUUGACUUUGGGAUAACUUCAAGAAAAUGGGGCCAAUACCGGAUAGGAGCCCCUGCUGCCUGGUGGGGGUUGGGAAGGUUCGGCGGUUGGGGAUGGACUCGCGGCUUAUCAGCUUGUUGGUGGGGUAGUGGCUUACCAAGGCUUUGACGGGUAGCCGGCCUGAGAGGGUGACCGGCCACAUUGGGACUGAGAUACGGCCCAGACUCCUACGGGAGGCAGCAGUGGGGAAUAUUGCACAAUGGGCGGAAGCCUGAUGCAGCAACGCCGCGUGCGGGAUGACGGCCUUCGGGUUGUAAACCGCUUUCGCCUGUGACGAAGCGUGAGUGACGGUAAUGGGUAAAGAAGCACCGGCUAACUACGUG